rnacentral:rRNA from 7 species
UUUGACCUCGGAUCAAGUAGGGAUACCCGCUGAAC